rnacentral:rRNA from 1 species
GAACUGUCAAGCUAGAGUGCAGGAGAGGAAGGUAGAAUUCCCGGUGUAGCGGUGAAAUGCGUAGAGAUCGGGAGGAAUACCAGUGGCGAAGGCGGCUUUCUGGACUGACACUGACACUGAGGUGCGAAAGCGUGGGUAGCAAACAGGAUUAGAUACCCUGGUAGUCCACGCCGUAAACGAUGUCGACCAGCCGUUGGGUGCCUAGCGCACUUUGUGGCGAAGUUAACGCGAUAAGUCGACCGCCUGGGGAGUACGGCCGCAAGGUUAAAACUCAAAUGAAUUGACGGGGGCCCGCACAAGCGGUGGAGCAUGUGGUUUAAUUCGAUGCAACGCGAAGAACCUUACCUACUCUUGACAUCCUGCGAAUUUGGUAGAGAUACCUUAGUGCCUUCGGGAACGCAGAGACAGGUGCUGCAUGGCUGUCGUCAGCUCGUGUUGUGAAAUGUUGGGUUAAGUCCCGUAACGAGCGCAACCCUUGUCCUUAUUUGCCAGCGCGUAAUGGCGGGAACUCUAAGGAGACUGCCGGUGACAAACCGGAGGAAGGUGGGGACGACGUCAAGUCAUCAUGGCCCUUACGAGUAGGGCUACACACGUGCUACAAUGGUCGGUACAAAGGGUUGCCAACUCGCGAGAGUGAGCCAAUCCCGAAAAGCCGAUCUCAGUCCGGAUCGGAGUCUGCAACUCGACUCCGUGAAGUCGGAAUCGCUAGUAAUCGUGGAUCAGAAUGCCACGGUGAAUACGUUCCCGGGCCUUGUACACACCGCCCGUCACACCAUGGGAGUGGACUGCACCAGAAGUGGUUAGCCUAACGCAAGAG